AUGGAGGAUCAGCUCUGCAAGGGGAUCUACCCCACAGAGCAGGAUUUACUUCAGCAGGGCUCUGGUGCCCGCUGAGUCUGCCCUUUGAGUGUGUCACUUGUGGAGCUGGUUAGAUGGUGGUACUUCGACACUGUCUGAAGCUGUCCUCUGGGUGCACUGGCUCUGGGGAAUACUGUGAGGUGUAGGCCAAGGUCAGCUACCACUUGGGUUCUGCCUGUCACCCGGCCCCCUCCCAGGCAUGAGCUACAUUACACAAU